UCGCUAGGUUUGCAACUACGUGUCCCAGACUGCAUCCCUGCUGAGAGUCCCUCCCUCCCUUCUCAUGUUGCAGGAAGAACGUAAGCGCCCGCCCCUUGUCAAUCAGUCACCAUAUAAUUUUGGAUUGGUUGUUGUGGUGAAGUUUUCCACCAAUAGGAGAGAUGUUGUGGUGUGUUUUUUUUUCUUUUGGCAAGCCUUUUCCGCCUGUAAGACCUGUCGCUAAUGUCUGCAUGCUAUGUUUUCCUGUCUCAUACAGCGCGAUCGAGCGCCGAACGUGAUCAAAAUAAGCAGAAAAAAAGUAUCGCGGACAUAAUUUAUCAUAACUCUGGUUUUAUUUGGCCUAUCAACACAAUUUAAAAACUGGUAUAUAGGUUGAGGUCCUCACUUUUGAGAUAAGUUGAAACGGAGAGUCAACGAGGCUCCGUCUUGCAGCUACAUCCGGUUAAAUAUGUCAUGUGACUUGAACGCACACACAGACACACACACACACUCAGAGUCUGGUUUUUAGCACCUGCAAAAACAUGCUAUUUACAUAUUUGACAAGAAUGCAGAGGCUCCUUUUGCCCCUGAAAAAAAUCAAAUUUCAAACACAACUUGACUGGUCAUUUCUCCAAAAGACAACCAUGAAGCUCCAUCCAAACCUGAAGCAGGCAGUUGGUGCAUGUGUACAGUAACCUGAGGGGAGUGAGGUGAGUGCUUCUGAGGAGAACAUGAGCAGUGAAGAUUCACCUUGGAGCUAGAACAGAGACAUGCACAUGAUUAUACAGGGGCAGGGGCUCAAGUUUUUUCCAGUCGUUUAUACAAUAUGGAAAUUAAUGUGAAAUUAAAACACAAAGUAUUAAUAGAAAGGUAAUGACUGUCCUGUGUAGGUGACAGUGAUAUCCAAUAGGCUAGGCACUCACGAGGCUGGCUGUGGCAAGUGUAAGUGAAAGCAACACGCACUGGCAGGAAGAACAGCAAACGCCGAUGAAGGAAAAGGGUCUUUGCAGUGAUGGGCGUUACCAGAGAGGGCGAUGGCCAGAGGACACAAAUGGGACGGGAAGGCAGCACGUUGGGGGGGGGGGGGGGGGAUGCGACACGGCUCGGGCCCGCCAGUGCCCCAACGGGGCCCUAGUUAUUAUUUUUCCUCCCCUUUGAACUGGAAAAUGGCCCACUUCCCACUGGCGAAAACUCAUGAAAUUUGGCAGGACGACCGGGCCUGGUGAAAAAUUUGAUAUUCCGAAGUCGCCCAAACAAGAAAAUGCAAAAUGGCUCCAUAGCGCCCCCUAAGGUGAAAAUUCACACUAUUGACUGUCACGCCUGUACGCUUUGUCAAAAUGACACAAAAAUUGACACACACAUGUAUCUCAAUAAGAUCUACAAAAAAGUCAGUGCGGGCGUAUCUGUCAAAUGUACGGUUAAAGGGUUAUUUCGCAUUUUUUGCCGAUCCGCACACAUUGGAAUUUCGCUAACUCCUCCGAAGGCUUUCGUUCCACCGGCACCACAUUUGCUCAGGCCAAUCUACACCCCAUGGCCAUUAAAAGUUAUUCAAAUCAUGACGCUGCACCCCACGGUUUAGGUUCUAGGGGGCGCCAAAGAUAACCCUAAGAUCCACAUAUUUAAAAGUCUUAUAACUUUUUAUUUUUGCCCUCACUGGCCUCCAAGUUUUCUAGGAUGAUGCAAUGUCCAGCCAUCAACACAUUUGUGAAGGAAUUUUUACUCCCCAAAAGAGCGCCCCCCCAUGGCAGGAGAAAAAAGUCCAUUUUUUCUUGUCCCCUAAGGUGAAAAUACACAUUGUUGAGUGUAACACCUGUACGCUUUGGCAAAAUGACACAAAAAUUGACACACACAUGUAUCUCAAUAAGAUCUACGAAAAAGUCAAUGCGCGCGUAUCUGUCAAAUGUACGGUUAAAGGGUUAUUCCGCAUUUUUUGCCGAUCCGCACACAUUGGAAUUUCGCUAACUCCUCCGAAGGCUUUCGUUCCACCGGCACCACAUUUGCUCAGGCCAAUCUACACCCCAUGGCCAUUAAAAGUUAUUCAAAUCAUGACGCUGCACCCCACGGUUUAGGUUCUAGGGGGCGCCAAAGAUAACCCUAAAAUCCACAUAUUUAAAAGUCUUAUAACUUUUUAUUUUUGUCCUCACUGGCCUCCAAGUUUUCUAGGAUGAUGCAAUGUCCAGCCAUCAACACAUUUGUGAAGGAAUUUUUACUCCCCAAAAGAGCGCCCCCCCAUGGCAGGAGAAAAAAGUCCAUUUUUUCUUGUCCCCUAAGGUGGAAAUUCACACUAUUGACUGUCACGCCUGUACGCUUUAUCAUAUUGACACAAAAAUUGACACACAUAUGUAUCUCAAUAAGAUCUACAAAAAAGUCAAUGCGCGCGUAUCUGUCAAAUAUACGGUUAAAGGGCUAUUUUGCAUUUUUUGCCGAUUCGCACACAUUGGAAUGUGGCUAACUCCUCCUAAGGCUUUCGUCCCACUGACACCAAAUUUGCUCAGGCCAAUCUACACCCCAUGGCCAUUCAAAGUUGUAAAAAUCAUGACGCUGCACCCCACGGUUUACGUUCUAGGGGGCGCCAAAGAUGACCCAAAAAUCCACAUUCUUAAAGGAAUCCACAUCCCCCCCAAGGCAGGAGAAAAAGUCAAGUUAACCCUGCCCAUCGCUCAAUGGCUCAAUCGCAUCGCUCUCCAGGCAACACCGUAAGGAGGAGCAACCUGCCAUUUCGAUAUAUCAUAGCUGUGUUUGUGCCCUCACUCAUGGUCCAGACUUUUUUCAAAUAGGACAUGAAGUUUGUCUGCAGCGAGUGUUUUGGUAGAAACUGCGCCUCCCAUUCAUUAUAAUGGGAAAUGACCACAGACAAGUGCGCACACCAUCUUUGGACCUUGAGUGUGACGCGAUCGGGAGGGGGAGGCGGUCGCGCUAGGGGCGGCGCGACGCGGCUCGGGCCCGACAGUGCCCCACCGGGGCCCUAGUUGUUUCUUUCUUUCUUCUUUUUCCUCCCCUUUGAACUGGAAAAUGGCCCACUUCCCACUGGCGAAAACUCAUGAAAUUUGGCAGGAUGACCGGGCCUGGUGAAAAAUUUGAUAUUCCGAAGUCGCCCAAACAAGAAAAUGCAAAAUGGCUCCAUAGCGCCCCCUAAGGUGAAAAUUCACACUAUUGACUGUCACGCCUUUACGCUUUGUCAAAAUGACACAAAAAUUGACACACAUAUGUAUCUCAAUAAGAUCUACAAAAAAGUCAGUGCGGGCGUAUCUGUCAAAUGUACGGUUAAAGGGUUAUUUCGCAUUUUUUGCCGAUCCGCACACAUUGGAAUUUCGCUAACUCCUCCUAAGGCUUUCGUUCCACCGGCACCACAUUUGCUCAGGCCAAUCUACACCCCAUGGCCAUUAAAAGUUAUUCAAAUCAUGACGCUGCACCCCACGGUUUAGGUUCUAGGGGGCGCCAAAGAUAACCCUAAAAUCCACAUAUUUAAAAGUCUUAUAACUUUUUAUUUUUGCCCUCACUGGCCUCCAAUUUUUCUAGGAUGAUGCAAUGUCCAGCCAUCAACACAUUUGUGAAGGAAUUUUUACUCCCCAAAAGAGCGCCCCCCCAUGGCAGGAGAAAAAAGUCAAUUUUUUCUUGUCCCCUAAGGUGAAAAUACACAUUGUAGAGUGUCACGCCUGUACGCUUUGUCAAAAUGACACAAAAUUUGACAUACACGUGUAUUUCAAUAAGAUCUUCGAAAAAGUCAAUGGCCACGUAUCUGUAAAAUGUACAGUUAAAGGGUUAUGUCGCAUUUUUUGCCGAUCCGCACACAUUGGAAUUUCGCUAACUCCUCCGAAGGCUUUCGUUCCACCGGCACCACAUUUGCUCAGGCCAAUCUACACCCCAUGGCCAUAAAAAGUUAUUCAAAUCAUGACGCUGCACCCCACGGUUUAGGUUCUAGGGGGCGCCAAAGAUAACCGUAAAAUCCACAUAUUUAAAAGUCUUAUAACUUUUUAUUGUUGUCCCCACUGGCCUCCAAGUUUUCUAGGAUGAUGCAAUGUCCAGCCAUCAACA